AUUGAACGCUGGCGGCAGGCCUAACACAUGCAAGUCGAACGAGUGGCGGACGGGUGAGUAAUGUCUGGGAAACUGCCUGAUGGAGGGGGCUAACUACUGGAAACGGUAGCUAAUACCGCAUACCAUCAGAUUUGCCCAGAGGGGAUGAGCUAGUUGGUGGGUUAACGGCGCACCAAGGCGACGAUCCCUAGCUGGUCUGAGAGGAUGACCAGCCAAACUUGAACUGAGACACGGUCCCGACUCCUACUGGAUGCAGCAGUGGGGAAGAUUGCACAUUGGGCGCAAGCCGGAUGCAGCCAUGCCGCGUGUAUGAAGAAGGCCUUCGGGUUGUAAAGUACUUUCAGCGGGGAGGCGUGACCCGCAGAAGAAGCACCGGUUAACUCCGUGCCAGCCGCCGCGGUAAUAC
rnacentral:rRNA from 1 species